rnacentral:rRNA from 1 species
GACGAAGGGGGCUAGCGUUGUUCGGAAUUACUGGGCGUAAAGCGCGUGUAGGCGGUUAUCCAAGUCGGGUGUGAAAGCCUUGAGCUCAACUCAAGAAAUGCACUCGGUACUGGGUAACUAGAGGACCGGAGAGGAUAGUGGAAUUCCCAGUGUAGUGGUGAAAUACGUAGAGAUUGGGAAGAACACCAGUGGCGAAGGCGGCUAUCUGGACGGUUUCUGACGCUAAGACGCGAAAGCGUGGGGAGCAAACAGG